rnacentral:lncRNA from 1 species
UUCCAUAUAAUGGAAUACUAUUCAGUCAUAAAAAGGAAGAAGUACUGAUACAUGCUACAACAUGGAUGAACCUCAAAAACAUUAUGCUAACUUAAAGAAGCCAACACAAGGCUGGGCGUGGUGGCUCACACCUAUAAUCCCAGCACUUUGGGAGGCCGAGCCGGGAGGAUCGCCUGAGGUCAGGAGUUCAAGACCAGCCUGGCCAACAUGGUGAAACCCCAUCUCUACUAAAAAUACAAAAAUUAGCCAGGUGUGGUGGCAGGCACCUGUAAUCCCAGCUACUCAGGAGGCUGAGGCAGGAGAAUUGCCUGAACCUGGGAGGUGGAGGUUGCAGUGAGCUGAGAUUGUGCCACUGUGCGCUGGCCUGGGCAACAGAGCGAGACUGUCUCAAAAAAAAAAAAAAAACAAAAAAAAAAAAACAAAAAACACAAAACGUUGCAUACUGUAUGAUUCCAUUUAUAUGAAAUACAUUCAGGAUAGCUAAUACCGUACACAGAAAGCAGAUUAGUGAUUGCCAGGGGCUGCGAGGAGGAAAGAAAGAAGAGUGACUGCUUCACAGGUAUGGGAUCUCCUUUGGUGGUGAUAAAAAUAUUUGGAACUAGAUAGAGAUGCUGAAUACACAAUAUUGUGAAUGUACUAAAUGCCACUGAAUUUUACACUUUACAAUAGUUUUACAUUAUGGGAAUUUCACCUCACACAAAAAAUUAUUUGGGAAAAAUCUCCUAGAAGGCAAAAGUGUUCUUUCUAUGUCAAUGUUUUACUGAAAAUACUUAAGCUUAGAUCCUGGCACUUCCUUAUUCUCCCUUUUCCUUACCUGUUGGUAUGGAGUUUGAGCUGAGAAUUUAUAGGCAUCAGAAUCUGCUCUGGUUGGCACUCUGGAUAGAAGAGUUGGAGUUUUUCAAACACCUAUAAUGAGAAAAUGUUUUCCUCAUUUUUGGCAAAGACAAAUUAUGACUUUUACUUACAUAUAGACUUCAGUAUAAUCCCGAAGAGAUUACAUGCAAAUAAAUGACAACUACGAAUCAACAGUCUGCCUAACUUCUAAUUAGUCUAAAAUCGUCCACAAUACUCCUCUCCAAAAUGAACCAGGCACUCAAAACGUAACUAGAUAUUCUAGAAGAUAUAACCUAAUGUUAGCCCUGUUUCUGACUCUGAGGGACUCAGCAUGUAGCAAAGUUUACACUUACCACAUCUUCCAUAUUGCUUAGAUAUUAGGUAUAAAAAUACUUUGAAAUUUCUAAUUUUGGCUCUGGUAAAAUGACAUGAAGUUUGGGGAAAAGAACUUAUAAUAUUAAAUUAGCAUGAAAUAACAUCCAGGUCUUCCACCUUCUAGUAAAGUGCUCCUUCCUCUACUUCACAUGGAAUCAGAGAACCAAAGCCAAAAUAAAGGAAAAAAUAAAACAGGAAAAGAAAAAAAAAGUCUCAAAAUCAGAGGCAGUGAAACUUACUCGACCCAUAUAAGUGAUAAUUUGUUUUUUGAAUUCUAAAAACAACAGAGCCAUUUAGCUUUUAGCCCAAGAAUAUCUGUAGAAACUAUUCAUACUCUUACACCUUAUCAAAAGUUAGAAUUAUGUUUUAUCCUAACUGUGAAUAUAUUUAAAUGGACUUAUAUCGGCUGGACGCGGU